GAUGAACGCUGGCGGCGUGCCUAAUACAUGCAAGUCGAGCGAACAGACGAUGAGCUUGCUCCUCUGACGUUAGCGGCGGACGGGUGAGUAACACGUGGAUAACCUACUUAUAAGACUGGGAUAACUUCGGGAAACCGGAGCUACUACCGGAUAAUAUAUUGAACCGCAUGGUUCAAUAGUGAAAGACGGUUUUGCUGUCACUUAUAGCUGGAUCCGCGCCGCAUUAGCUAGUUGGUAAGGUAACGGCUUACCAAGGCGACGAUGCGUAGCCGACCUGAGAGGGUGAUCGGCCACACUGGAACUGAGACACGGUCCAGACUCCUACGGGAGGCAGCAGUAGGGAAUCUUCCGCAAUGGGCGAAAGCCUGACGGAGCAACGCCGCGUGAGUGAUGAAGGUCUUCGGAUCGUAAAACUCUGUUAUUAGGGAAGAACAAAUGUGUAAGUAACUAUGCACGUCUUGACGGUACCUAAUCAGAAAGCCACGGCUAACUACGUG
rnacentral:rRNA from 1 species